CGGGUGAGUAACGCGUGAGGAACCUGCCUUCCCAGAGGGGGACGAACAGUUGGAAACGACUGCUAAUACCGCAUGACACAUUUGAAUCGCAUGGUUUGAAUGUCAAAGAUUUAUCGCUGGAAGAUGGCCUCGCGUCUGAUUAGCUAGUUGGUAGGGUAACGGCCUACCAAGGCGACGAUCAGUAGCCGGACUGAGAGGUUGACCGGCCACAUUGGGACUGAGAUACGGCCCAGACUCCUACGGGAGGCAGCAG
rnacentral:rRNA from 1 species